UCCCUCUCGGGGUCGCAUCUGGAGAGGUUCUGGUACUCUACCGGUCUUGACUACGGGAGGGAGAGUGAAGCAGAGGGUUACCCAUUCCAUUCCUAGCUUGGGCAGUGGCUAGCGAGUGGAUUGCCAUCUGCUACAGGU